rnacentral:rRNA from 1 species
UACGGGGGGGGGCAAGCGUUGUUCGGAAUUACUGGGCGUAAAGGGCGCGUAGGCGGCCUGCUAAGUCGGACGUGAAAUCCCUUGGCUCAACCGGGGAACUGCGUCUGAUACUGGAUGGCUUGAAUUCGGGAGAGGGAUGCAGAAUUCCAGGUGUAGCGGUGAAAUGCGUAGAUAUCUGGAGGAAUACCGGUGGCGAAGGCGGCAUCCUGGACCGACAUUGACGCUGAUGAGCGAAAGCGAGGGGAGCA